AUAAAGCACAUGUAGAUUUAUUGAAAAUCAAUUCCCAAGCAUGGAAAACAACACAAUAACAAUACAUGCACAAGACCACAACUUCACUUUCACAUAUUUCAAUACUUUUAACAUUCGCAUAUGGUUUCUCAAACAUCACAAUAUUUUAAGAUCACAUUCACAUAAACCAAUAAGUUGGCAGAAAUACUGCUCACUAAUUUUAAAACACUUGUACUUACACUUUUUACUAGUCACUUACACUUAUCACCUAGUAAAGUAUCCUUACACAUAUCAAGAUCACUUUCGCUUUACACUAUUC
rnacentral:lncRNA from 1 species